CAGUUAGCAAGUAUUCAACGUAGGUGAUGGGUUUCUUAGCCUCUCCACUUUUCUGAACUUUCCAAGUGUCAAGGAUGAGGCAGCAGGCGGAUGCACUCGCUGUCUUCUCAGCAGCUUUCCUGCCUGAAACCCAGCGGAGAGCUGGGCGGCUAUUGUUUCAAAUUACACUUUCUGUGACAGAGGUCAUCCGCCUGACCUAGGCCUUCUCCGAAAACAAAACACCUUGUCAUUUCCAUAUGAAGAAAGUUGAAAGAAGGAUACGGCGAACACCUGCAUAUUGUUCUAUGAGUAAGCUGCGGGUGUCAUGACAUUCACCCCUCAACGUCAGGAGUGAGGAGGGCCUCCGUGAGGGACUGCAUGGCACCGUCUUUGCUCACUGGUGCUAGCAGGGCUGAGGAGACAGUGAUGGAGGGAGCACGGCAUCUGUUGGUGGAGCACGCAGUCUGGAUGUGUGGAUGGACACCUGAACAAGCUCUGUUUUAUUCAGCGUGAAAAGUACUGUAAUAAUAGCGAGCUGCGCAUAGUAGAAACACCGCUGAGGGAGGACUGAGCCAGGGGGCGAGAUUGAGCGGGGCCUGAAGGAAGUGAAGGAGCCUGUCAAGCAGAGACCAGGGCUGCGGCAGGAGCUUCUCACGCGGG